rnacentral:rRNA from 1 species
CAGCCGCCGCGGUAAUACCGGCGGCCCGAGUGGCGGUCACUAUUAUUGGGCUUAAAGCGUCCGUAGCCGGGUUGGGAAGUCCUCCGGGAAAUCUGGCCGCUUAACGGUCAGAAUGCCGGAGGAUACUCCCAGCCUAGGGAGCGGGAGAGGCCGAGGGGAUUCCCGGAGUAGGGGUGAAAUCCUAUAAUCCCGGGAGGACCACCUGUGGCGAAGGCGCUCGGCUGGAACGCGUCCGACGGUGAGGGACGAAGGCCAGGGGAGCAAACCGGAUUAGAUACCCGGGUAGUCCUGGCUGUAAACGAUGCGGACUUUGUGUCGGACAAGCUAUGAGCUUGUCCGGUGCCGGAGGGAAACCGUUAAGUCCGCCGCCUGGGGAGUACGGCCGCAAGGCUGAAAAUUAAAGGAAUUGGCGGG